GAACCACGAGUCCUAGAGUAGUCCCAAUUUGUAAUGACUUAAAUUUGCUUGAAUAAAUAUCUUCGCUACCAAAAAAAAAAAGAGUUUUCAGCCAACUAAGUAGAAGUCUUCUCAUGAGGAAAGAAACCAUCAAAUUGCAGCAAGAUAUAGAUACUAGUCACAUGCAAAAUGCAUUUGAAUUAUAAAGUAAUCAAAUUACAUAAAUCAAUUUGUUUUCCUUCUAAGGCUUACCGAUUACAGUGAUGGUCAAAAGAUUGCUAGUAAAGGUAUUCUGUCCGAGAAACUGAUAUUACAGAUUAUAUUGGUUGUACUCCUCUUGCUAACCAUCCUCUGGAGAGUUAUGAUUCUAUCCUACCCCUUUUAUAUUGACGCAAAGACUCACUCGCAAAAUAUAACUUGUUCAACUUAAUUAAACUCUAUGGAUUUACAUAAUCAUCCAUUAGAUAGGCCAAAAGAUUAAACAUUUAUAAGCAAAGAUUUCUAGUAAAGGUAUUUAGUCCGAGAAAAUGAUAUUACAGAUUAUUUUUAUUGUACUCCUCUUGCUAAAGAGUUAUGAUUCUAUCCUACCCCUUUUAUAUUGACGCAAAGACUCACUCGAAAAAUAUAACUUGUUCAACUUAAUUAAACUCUAUCGAUUUACAUAGUCAUCCAUUUGAUGCCAAAGGAUUAACCAUUCAUAUAUAACAAAAUUUAACUUGCCAUAGCAGCUAUUCAAUAAUGUCACUGACACUUUAGCUUUAAACCUGGAAAAGCUUCCACUGUAAUGAGUCUGUCUCCGCCACCAAUACAAUAGGAGGGAGGGCAAAAACAGAAACAAAACACUCUCUCUAAUAUAUAUAUGUCGCUCUUCACUGAGCCGAGGGUCAAUUGGAAACAGCCUCUCUGCCCUUUUUCGGGUAGGGGUAAGGCUCGUCUACAUAUUACCCUCCCCAAACCCCACUUUGUGAGACAAUACUGGGUAGUUGUUGUUGUUGUUGUCUUCACCCUGCCAACAAAAUCUUAAGGGUAAAAAGACCAACAUUUUCAAUUCAUCUGGAGUGGUUGGAGGAAGGUUUUAAAUUGGAAUGAGUAAUACAUUAAAACACUCCGGCAGUCCUAUAUUUUUGGAUUGUAGAGCUCGGAAAAGCAACUUAAUUAACUCCUUACUAAGCUAAUAACCAAGAGGAUCCCUUCAACUUAAUUAACUAAAGAUAGAGAAAGAUAUACUUUCUUCUAGGUUUAAAUACUUUGCUUCAUCGAAGCUGGCACUGGAGCAUGCCCCUAAACAUCAAUCUCUGCAUUGGAAAAAUCAAAGGCAGAUGCUCGUCUAAUUUUUCUUUGUUUCUAUAUUUGGUUCUACACUUGCUGGCUAAAGUUACCAGUAAUAGUUAACUGAAUUUUGAACCUAAAAAAAAAAUUAUAAGAAUCAAAGAGGAUGUUGCUACCUCUCUGGUUGCUCCAUUAGAUCACCUUGUUGUAUAAAAUUGUAAUACAAACCUCCAGAACUCCACGAAACAGAUGAUGCACAAGAAGCAAUGCAGAUGUAUUUGCCGAACACAGUCCCCAUAACAAAGCCGCAAACCUUAAAAAUAAUAGGAGCACAUAUUAGAGGAAAACACCAAACCUAUUCUCUUUCUUCAUGAGCUGAUGAACAACUAAAAUGGUCAAUCUAAUGGUGGAUAUAAAGUAAUGCAGAUUUCCCUGCUUUAAAAAAAAAUGAAAAAGAAAACGUCUUUGUCCUCUAGAAGUCUGACAUAACGUGUUCUCUAGUGUUCCACCCCAUAAAUUGACAAAUCAAAAGAAUUCAGUAUCAUCCUAUUUCCAGGAAAAUCAAACAAAACUAAGCUUUUAUUUUAGCUCAGCUGGCAGCUCUCAUCAAUCUUCAGUUAUGUGUAAGCUGGAAUAUGACAAAUAGACAAAACACGCGGCAAUUAACAAAUAAAUAAACACAUCAGGAAUUUUAGGAACAUCCUUAUGUUCAUCACAAACUAAAAUGACAUAGUCGAAAUGCGAACUAUUAAAUGUUGUUGAGUUGUCCCACAU
rnacentral:lncRNA from 1 species